rnacentral:rRNA from 1 species
CCUACGGGUGGCAGCAGUGGGGGAUAUUGCACAAUGGGGGGAACCCUGAUGCAGCGACGCCGCGUGAGCGAAGAAGUACCUCGGGAUGUAAAGCUCUAUCAGCAGGGAAGAAAGAAAUGACGGUACCUGACCAAGAAGCCACGGCUAACUACGUGCCAGCAGCCGCGGUAAUACGUAGGGGGCAAGCGUUAUCCGGAUUUACUGGGUGUAAAGGGCGUGUAGGCGGGGAUGCAAGUCAGAAGUGAAAGCCGCGGGCCCAACCCCCGGCCUGCACUGGAAACUGUACUGCUGGAGUACGGGAGAGGCAGACGGAAUUCCUAGUGUAGCGGGGAAAUGCGUAGAUAUUAGGAGGAACACCAGUGGCGAAGGCGGCUUGCUGGACUGUAACUGACGUUGAGGCUCGAAAGCGUGGGGAGCAAACAGGAUUAGAUACCCGUGUAGUC